rnacentral:rRNA from 1 species
GAUGAACGCUAGCUACAGGCUUAACACAUGCAAGUCGAGGGGUAACAAGAGGAAAGCUUGCUUUCCUUGUUGACGACCGGCGCACGGGUGAGUAACGCGUAUCCAACCUGCCUAUAACUAGGGAAUAACCUUGCGAAAGUAAGACUAAUACCCUAUGAUUUCCUUUGAUGACAUCAGAUUAGGAAUAAAGAUUUAUCGGUUAUAGAUGGGGAUGCGUCUGAUUAGCUUGUUGGCGGGGUAACGGCCCACCAGGGCAACGAUCAGUAGGGGUUCUGAGAGGAAGGUCCCCCACAUUGGAACUGAGACACGGUCCAAACUCCUACGGGAGGCAGCAGUGAGGAAUAUUGGUCAAUGGGCGGAAGCCUGAACCAGCCAAGUAGCGUGCAGGAUGACGGCCCUAUGGGUUGUAAACUGCUUUUAUACAGGAAUAAAGUCAGCCACGUGUGGUUAUUUGUAGGUACUGUAUGAAUAAGGACCGGCUAAUUCCGUGCCAGCAGCCGCCGUAA